AGGGUUUGAUUAUGGCUCAGGAUGAACGCUGGCGGCGUGCUUAACACAUGCAAGUCGAACGAAGCGAUAGAGAACGGAGAUUUCGGUUGAAGUUUUCUAUUGACUGAGUGGCGGACGGGUGAGUAACGCGUGGGUAACCUGCCCUAUACAGGGGGAUAACAGUUAGAAAUGACUGCUAAUACCGCAUAAGCGCACAGCUUCGCAUGAAGCGGUGUGAAAAACUGAGGUGGUAUAGGAUGGACCCGCGUUGGAUUAGCUAGUUGGUGAGGUAACGGCCCACCAAGGCGACGAUCCAUAGCCGGCCUGAGAGGGUGAACGGCCACAUUGGGACUGAGACACGGCCCAA
rnacentral:rRNA from 1 species